GGCUAUAUCAUAUCGAUCUAAUCUUUUUACUUCGGGUGGUCAAAUUUUCGCUCCAGGAAUUGAAAACAGUCUAUGUUGAACAGAUCUGGUACUUCUGACCGCAACAAUGAAAUAUUUGUUCUCUUUUGGGAUUGAACACUUAUAUGAUGGAUCUCCAAGCUGGAAAUUCUUCUCAUUUGGGAGAUCUUUGUACUAAUGUCAAGACUACACAAGUGAAGAUCUUUCUAUCUUCUUCAUUAUUACUUGAUUUUUGCUCUAGAAAUUGAAAACAAUUUAUGUUGAAUAGAUCUGGUAUAUAUGACCGUUGAGUAGUUGAAGCUUUCUGUCAAUGAAACUCUAAGUUGGAAUGGCUUCUCUUUUGGGAGAUCUUUGUACUGAUGUCAUGGACUGCACAAGUGAAGCUUUUACUAUCUUCUUCACUGUUAUUUGGUGGUUAGAUUUUUGCUCCAGAAAUUGAUAAUAGUUUAUGCUGAAUAGAUCUGGUGCUCUUGACCGAUGGACUCAAUUCUAAAACCUCUGAUUAAGAAUGAAGGAGUACUAAUCAGUCCACCACAAUUUUUCGUAAGGGAGAAAGUUUUUUGUCAGGCUGUGGGUUAUAGCUUAAUUCUUUUUCCUUUUUGUUUUUUUGUUUUUGUCUCAAUCCUAGAACAUUUAUUUUUAUUACAUUUAAUAGGGAAAUGAGAGGUUUAAUGAUUUUUACCACUACUAAUCCUAUAAUGUAC